ACUGGCACCUAUAUGGGACCCUGGUGCAUGCAAAGUGAGAACCUUAGCCACUAGGCUACCAUGCUGGGCCCAAUCAAUAAGUUUUUAUUGAGUGUCUUCAAUGUGCAUGUAAGGGAAGAUGGGCCAAGAAGACAAAACAUGGUUGUUAUUUAAUUUAGGAGAUGAGAUAAAUACAUGCAAAAAAAUAAUUAAGCAUAAGUGACACCACUUGAUAAAAAUGCAACCUGUGACAGCAAGCAUAACUGUUCGUAUUUCAAAGGUAGGAGAGACCAGAAAACUGGUAUUCACAUAUGGUUUUAUGAUGCAGGUAGAAUUGGAACUUCAUCCACUUCAGUAAUCAAAGAGGAGUGAGGAAGGGUUCUCCACCAGGGGAGUAGUAACUGACCAAAGAGGGAAGUGUAAUAUCACUUCAGAGAAUGGUGAGUGACUGACUCAGAGAGGCAAUUUGUGGAAGAGAAGGCUGGACAUUCAAGCUGAAGCCACAGUGAAAUAGCAUGGCUUCGUUGGGGGUGGACUACAUCCAGAGAGAACACGAUAAUCAUUAAGGCUGCAUAAGGCCAGAGGGAUAAAAUCUUGUCCUGUGAUGGUGACAACGAAGAAAUGAA